rnacentral:lncRNA from 7 species
GGGAUGCAACUGGGGAGGGUUAGUUUUUUUUCGUAACAAGCUGCAAUGCGAAUCCAAAUCAAUCAGCGUUCUUCAUCUUUUUUUUGCUCGUUUUACACGCCUCACCUCGUGGAGAAGUCUAGGGCCUAAAACAUUUGUCAUCUUGAGGUACUCACUGUCAUUAUCAUUUAGUAUUUUCUUCCACAACAUGCCAUUUUCUGGAUAGACUGGCUAGAAACAUCUCAGAUAUUAUUGUGAUUUUGCUAAACUAUAGGAUUCAUUGAUCUGCUCAUACAUGGUGUAGAUCUAGAUGUUUAAUUCCUUUGUUUGGAUGCCUUGUUUCUUUUUAAAACCUUGCGUCAAUGCAAAAUCGAACCUGUGCAUAUACACUGUCUUGACUCAAGACUGAUUUUAUCCACUGUCUUAAAGUAGCAUGUUAAUUCAAUUUUAAUUUCUGCAGUUAGCAUAAUGUGUAUCUGUUGCUUUUGUGCUUAUGCAUGCAUCCCUUCAUUUACCAUGACUAGUGGCCCAUAUGAAUUUAUUAUUUAUCAUAGUUCAUAAUUCAAUAAUCAGCAUAAGUUCUGAUGAUAGCAAAUGGAUUCAGAAUGAUGGUGGUUUCUGUAUCAGGGCAUGGGGCUUCUAUCCCACCGUUAUCUUCUCAGAGCAGUGCACCACAGUACUCAUAUGGUGGACAUCAGGGUAC